rnacentral:snoRNA from 1 species
GCACCGUUCGAAGCAGCUGCCGUGUUUCCCACUGUCGCGGCCUCUGUCAAAAGCGGUGCCACAUCAUACAAAGCCUCAUUAUAGGCACUGAGGGGCUCUCACCACCCCGCUGCGCUGUCGGAGGGGCUUGACAACA